rnacentral:rRNA from 1 species
CCUUCGAACGGUAACAGGAAGCAGCUUGCUGCUUUGCUGACGAGUGGCGGACGGGUGAGUAAUGUCUGGGAAACUGCCCGAUGGAGGGGGAUAACUACUGGAAACGGUAGCUAAUACCGCAUAACGUCGCAAGACCAAAGAGGGGGACCUUCGGGCCUCUUGCCAUCGGAUGUGCCCAGAUGGGAUUAGCUAGUAGGUGGGGUAACGGCUCACCUAGGCGACGAUCCCUAGCUGGUCUGAGAGGAUGACCAGCCACACUGGAACUGAGACACGGUCCAGACUCCUACGGGAGGCAGCAGUGGGGAAUAUUGCACAAUGGGCGCAAGCCUGAUGCAGCCAUGCCGCGUGUAUGAAGAAGGCCUUCGGGUUGUAAAGUACUUUCAGCGGGGAGGAAGGGAGUAAAGUUAAUACCUUUGCUCAUUGACGUUACCCGCAGAAGAAGCACCGGCUAACUCCGUGCCAGCAGCCGCCCUAAUACAGUGGGUGCAAGCGUUAAUCGGAAUUACUGGGCGUAAAGCGCACGCAGGCGGUUUGUUAAGUCAGAUGUGAAAUCCCCGGGCUCAACCUGGGAACUGCAUCUGAUACUGGCAAGCUUGAGUCUCGUAGAGGGGGGUAGAAUUCCAGGUGUAGCGGUGAAAUGCGUAGAGAUCUGGAGGAAUACCGGUGGCGAAGGCGGCCCCCUGGACGAAGACUGACGCUCAGGUGCGAAAGCGUGGGGAGCAAACAGGAUUAGAUACCCUGGUAGUCCACGCCGUAAACGAUGUCGACUUGGAGGUUGUGCCCUUGAGGCGUGGCUUCCGGAGCUAACGCGUUAAGUCGACCGCCUGGGGAGUACGGCCGCAAGGUUAAAACUCAAAUGAAUUGACGGGGGCCCGCACAAGCGGUGGAGCAUGUGGUUUAAUUCGAUGCAACGCCCGAACCUUACCUGGUCUUGACAUCCACGGAAGUUUUCAGAGAUGAGAAUGUGCCUUCGGGAACCGUGAGACAGGUGCUGCAUGGCUGUCGUCAGCUCGUGUUGUGAAAUGUUGGGUUAAGUCCCGCAACGAGCGCAACCCUUAUCCUUUGUUGCCAGCGGUCCGGCCGGGAACUCAAAGGAGACUGCCAGUGAUAAACUGGAGGAAGGUGGGGAUGACGUCAAGUCAUCAUGGCCCUUACGACCAGGGCUACACACGUGCUACAAUGGCGCAUACAAAGAGAAGCGACCUCGCGAGAGCAAGCGGACCUCAUAAAGUGCGUCGUAGUCCGGAUUGGAGUCUGCAACUCGACUCCAUGAAGUCGGAAUCGCUAGUAAUCGUGGAUCAGAAUGCCACGGUGAAUACGUUCCCGGGCCUUGUACACACCGCCCGUCACACCAUGGGAGUGGGUUGCAAAAGAAGUAGGUAGCUUAACCUUCGGGAGGGCGCUUUGGG